rnacentral:rRNA from 1 species
AAGUCGUAACAAGGUUUCCGUAGGUGAACCUGCGGAAGGAUCAUUACUGAAAAACUUCUCAAAAGUUUUAUAUAUCCCAUUGUCUACCUACCAUGUUGCUUCCACCGGACAUGUUUUACCUUGUGUAAGACCUUUGACUUGUGUGAAUAACUCGAGUCAGGGAGUUGCCGGUGGCAAGACCAUCUACCAAAACUUGAUUAAAGUACUUUGUCUGAAUCUUUUGCUUCAAUGAAAUAAAACUUUCAACAACGGAUCUCUAGGCUCUUGCAUCGAUGAAGAACGCAGUGAAAUGCGAUAAGUAAUGUGAAUUGCAGAAUCUCGUGAAUCAUCGAAUCUUUGAACGCACAUUGCGCCCUAUGGUAUUCCGUAGGGCAUGCCUGUCUGAGCGUCAGCUCCCACCCACUCAAGUAUCUUUUUUUUUCGGGAUUCUUGGAAUCAUUUGGAGAGGUAUCUUGUUACAGAGAUGUCCUCCAGAAAUUUAUAGGCAGUAUGGUUUGUAUCUGAACCAGACGUAAUAAUAAUAAAAUCGUUUGUUUGGGAAUAACUGUGCUUGCCUUAACCCACCCAUUUUUUUUAUUUGGGUGACCUCAGAUCAGGUAGGGAUACCCGCUGAACUUAAGCAUAUCAAUAAGCGGAGGAAAAGAAACCAACAGGGAUUGCCCUAGUGACGGCGAGUGAAGCGGCAAAAGCUCAGAUUUGAAAUCUGUCGUCAUUUUGGCGGCCGAGUUGUAGUCUGUAGAGGUGUAUUCGAGUGUGGCUUUGGCUUAAGUUCCUUGGAACAGGGCGUCAUAGAGAGUGAGAACCCCGUUAACAGCCUUUGUCUUAUGCUCAUGUGAAUCUCCUCCAACGAGUCGAGUUGUUUGGGAAUGCAGCUCUAAAUGGGUGGUAAAUUCCAUCUAAAGCUAAAUACUGGCAAGAGACCGAUAGCGCACAAGUAGAGUGAUCGAAAGAUGAAAAGAACUCUGAACAGAGAGUUAAAUAGUACGUGAAAUUGUUGAAAGGGAAGCACUUCCGACCAGACGCACUUGCAGCCGAUCAAUCUUCAUUCUUGAGGGUGCACUCGGUUGUCUGUGGGUCAGCAUCAGUUAUGGCGGUGGGAAAAAGACUAAGGGAAUGUGGCUCCUCUCGGGGAGUGUUAUAGCCUUUGGUGCAAUGCUGCCUGCUGUGACUGAGGACCGCGCUUCGGUGAGGAUGCUGGCAUAAUGGUCGUAAGUGACC